rnacentral:rRNA from 1 species
CCUACGGGAGGCAGCAGGGGGGGAUAUUGCACAAUGGGGGGAACCCUGAUGCAGCGACGCCGCGUGGGUGAAGAAGCGCCUCGGCGCGUAAAGCCCUGUCAGCAGGGAAGAAAAUGACGGUACCUGAAGAAGAAGCCCCGGAUAACUACGUGCCAGCAGCCGCGGUAAUACGUAGGGGGCAAGCGUUAUCCGGAUUUACUGGGGGUAAGGGGGGCGCAGACGGCGAUGCAAGCCAGGAGUGAAAGCCCGGGGCCCAACCCCGGGACUGCUCUUGGAACUGCGUGGCUGGAGUGCAGGAGGGGCAGGCGGAAUUCCUGGUGUAGCGGUGAACUGCGUAGAUAUCAGGAGGAACCCCGGUGGCGAAGGCGGCCUGCUGGACUGCAACUGACGUUGAGGCCCGAAAGCGUGGGGAGCAAACAGGAUUAGAUACCCUUGUAGUC